rnacentral:rRNA from 1 species
AACGAACGCUGGCGGCAGGCUUAACACAUGCAAGUCGAACGCCCCGUAAGGGGAGUGGCAGACGGGUGAGUAACGCGUGGGAACAUACCCUUUUCUACGGAAUAGCUCUGGGAAACUGGAAUUAAUACCGUAUACGCCCUACGGGGGAAAGAUUUAUCGGGGAAGGAUUGGCCCGCGUUGGAUUAGCUAGUUGGUGGGGUAAAGGCCUACCAAGGCGACGAUCCAUAGCUGGUCUGAGAGGAUGAUCAGCCACAUUGGGACUGAGACACGGCCCAAACUCCUACGGGAGGCAGCAGUGGGGAAUAUUGGACAAUGGGCGCAAGCCUGAUCCAGCCAUGCCGCGUGAGUGAUGAAGGCCUUAGGGUUGUAAAGCUCUUUCACCGAUGAAGAUAAUGACGGUAGUCGGAGAAGAAGCCCCGGCUAACUUCGUGCCAGCCGCCGCCGUAAUAC